CCUGAGAUCUGGACACAACUUCUGGAGUAGAAAUUACGUUCCAGAUUCGAAACAUCCAGCAAGGGCGGCCACACCAGCAUUUAAAAAACCCAUUUUGGCUGUUAUCCAGUUAGAUACGGCGCAGCAGGAAAGGGAGCGAGUGACUGGUCCAGCCAAGGGCCUUCAGGUACAAGCAGGCGGGCGCGCAGCCGGUGGCUCCCUGGGAGCUGCUCCUUGCCAAUAAAAAUCAUCCGGGCGGCCCGGCCUCCCCUCUAGGGAAAAAGAAAGACCAAGGCUCUGAACGAUGAAGAGCGCUCCUCGCACACUAGGUCCCAAGCCAGUGACCUGAGCGGGUCAGGCAGAUAAAACUGCCAGGGAAGUGUCUGCCAUCGUGACCCAAAGAACUAGCCACUCUCCACUGCAGGACACUAUUCUGAGGCUCCUCUCACCAAAAGCUGCUGACAUGGGAGCCCAGGCUCGUGGCCAGAACCUUCCCCAGCAGCAGACCCUCCCCGAGCGCUCAGGGCCACGGAAAGCGGAUGUCCUCUGCAGAGCUUCACAAACGUGUAUUUCUGACCAUCUCUGGAGAGACAGCAGACAAUCCCUGACGUCACGAUGGACGUUUCCCCAUCGAUCUUUGCUUCCGAGGCAGAACUCUGAUUUUCCCUUCCCACUGAGUGUAGGGGGCCAGGAGGCAAGAAUCCAUCCCAGGUCUUGAAUCUUACAGUAACUUGGCUCACCAAAACUCCCUUUUCUUUUUAAUAAACGCUUUCAGAUGCUAUUCUCA